rnacentral:rRNA from 1 species
UUGGAGGGCAAGUCUGGUGCCAGCAGCCGCGGUAAUUCCAGCUCCAAUAGCGUAUAUUAAAGUUGUUGCAGUUAAAAAGCUCGUAGUUGAAUUUCGGGGUCAGUAGGUUGGUCAUGCCACUGGUAUGUACUGGUCUCACUGAUUCCUCCUUCCUGAUGAGCCGUAAUGCCAUUAAUUUGGUGUUGCGAGGAAUCUGGACUGUUACUUCGAAAAAAUUAGAGUGUUUAAAGCAAGCUAACGCUUGAAUACAUUAGCAUGGAAUAAUGAAAUAGGACGUUCGAUCCUAUUUUGUUGGUUUCUAGGAUUGACGUAAUGAUUAAUAGGGAUAGUUGGGGGCAUUAGUAUUCAAUUGUCAGAGGUGAAAUUCUUGGAUUUAUUGAAGACUAACUACUGCGAAAGCAUUUGCCAAGGAUGUUUUCAUUAAUCAAGAACGAAAGUUAGGGGAUCGAAGACGAUCAGAUACCGUCGUAGUCUUAACCAUAAACUAUGCCGACUAGGGAUCGGAUGAUGUUAAUUUUUUAAUGACUCAUUCGGCGCCUUACGGGAAAC